rnacentral:rRNA from 1 species
GUGAGGAAUAUUGGUCAAUGGGCGGGAGCCUGAACCAGCCAUCCCGCGUGGAGGAAGACGGCCCUAUGGGUUGUAAACUUCUUUUCAAGGGGAAGAAAGUUCGCGACGUGUCGCGAUUUGCCGGUACCUUUGGAAUAAGCAUCGGCUAACUCCGUGCCAGCAGCCGCGGUAAUACGGAGGAUGCGAGCGUUAUCCGGAUUUAUUGGGUUUAAAGGGUGCGUAGGCCGAUCGAUAAGUCAGCGCUGAAAUACCAUGGCCCAACCAUGGAACUGCCGUUGAUAAUGUCGGUCUUGAAUAUGGGCAAGGUAGGCGGAAUGUGUAAUGUAGCGGUGAAAUGCUUAGAGAUUACACAGAACACCGAUUGCGAAGGCAGCUUACUGGUCCAUUAUUGACGCUGAGGCACGAAAGCGUGGGGAUCGAACAGGAUUAGAUAUCCGUGUAGUCC